rnacentral:rRNA from 1 species
GACGAACGCUGGCGGCGUGCUUAACACAUGCAAGUCGAACGGAAAGGCCCUGCUUGCAGGGUACUCGAGUGGCGAACGGGUGAGUAACACGUGGGUGAUCUGCCCUGCACUUCGGGAUAAGCCUGGGAAACUGGGUCUAAUACCGGAUAGGAGCCAUUUUUAGUGUGAUGGUUGGAAAGUUUUUUCGGUGUAGGAUGAGCUCGCGGCCUAUCAGCUUGUUGGUGGGGUAAUGGCCUACCAAGGCGGCGACGGGUAGCCGGCCUGAGAGGGUGGACGGCCACAUUGGGACUGAGAUACGGCACAGACUCCUACGGGAGGCAGCAGUGGGGAAGAUUGCACAAUGGGCGCAAGCCUGAUGCAGCGACGCCGCGUGGGGGAUGACGGCCUUCGGGUUGUAAACUCCUUUCGCUAGGGACGAAGCUUUUUGUGACGGUACCUAGAUAAGAAGCACCGGCUAACUACGUG